rnacentral:lncRNA from 1 species
UACUUCCUUGCGGGCACUGAUUAUUACCUGCAGAAAACAUCAAAAUGUGUUUUUAAUGGAACUUCAACGAAGGGGACUCUUCAGGUUGCUUUAACGUGAACAGGGUAACCUAAGUUUGCUAACAUGCAUCCCGUACUACGGAAAAGGGACGGCCGGCAGACAUUGAACUUUAGCUGGACGGCCGCCUCUGAUAAGGCGCUGGAAAAAUAGGAAGAGCGCAAAGCUGCUGUGGGUAGUCACGGUGAUGCAGAAGCUCCCUGAGGCCAAGGAAAGGGGGCCACCGCGUGAUGCGCGUUCGGGAGCCCCCUGCCCACUCCAUAGCGUCUGUCUGUCUGUCUGUCUCUUUGUCUGUAGCGACUAAACAUAACCUCUCGCCUAACUGUUUAGCAACAUUCGUAGCUUUCCACAUCCUCCUUUGCCCCACCCCCCAGCCUUUAUGACCGACAGAAAAUCGUUUGCGUAUAUAUGAAAAAGCUCCAUGUAACAACAAAAUUCGCCUCGCG